rnacentral:lncRNA from 1 species
ACUGAAGAGGCACUGCUGAGAGGGGAGAGCACAGAGCUGGUGCCUUUGUGUACCCACAGCAGAAUUCCAGAUAACAUCCCUGUGUCAGGAAGUCGCAGUAGGAGUUCCAUCGGACUGCCUCAUCCUGUCUGCUGUCCGGCAGAAGUUACCUCAACUGACUCCACAGACAAGUUGUAGUUGGUGUGCAGACAUUCAGCCAGCUCUUCAGUCAACCCAGCCAUUCACCAUGAUAAUAGCAAGAAGUGAAUGUGCUUUUAUAACCUGGCCAAAUUUGCAGGAGGCUUCACCUCUCCCAAACGUCAGGAAAUCAGGAGACUCCCCGCCUUACAGUAGAGCUCCCCGGACAGCGAACAAGAGAAAGGGGUGAGUCCUGAAUAAUCCACGGCUGUUGUUAUAUAAUCAGCUCUGCAGGAAAUGUUAAAAAUAAAUGCUCUUAAGAGGAAUCAUACAUUUAUUUCAUGUUGCCUGAUUUCUAACAAAUAUAUUGAGUUUGAGGAAAAUCUUUUUUAGCUAGAAUUACAGGGCAAAGAAGAGUCCAGUUAACUCUUUCCUUCCCUGAGACCGUGCCUCCUGUCCCUUUCCCUCUGCCUCCUGGUACCCGGCGCACACGUCUACCAUUGUACUUACCUGCUGACGCCUCCCUGAAGAGAACAUGCCACGUGUCUGAAGCCGUAAGCCAAGCACAGUAGCGAGCACAAGCGCAGGCCCAAGCGUCUGCUGAAUAAUGUGCAUGGAAACUUGAUGAAAACUUGUCACCAC